AACGACUCUCGGCAACGGAUAUCUCGGCUCUCGCAUCGAUGAAGAACGUAGCGAAAUGCGAUACUUGGUGUGAAUUGCAGAAUCCCGUGAACCAUCGAGUCUUUGAACGCAAGUUGCGCCCAAAGCCUUCCGGCCGAGGGCACGUCUGCCUGGGCGUUACGC
rnacentral:rRNA from 1 species